rnacentral:rRNA from 1 species
CGUGUAGGCGGUUUACCAAGUCGGACGUGAAAGCCCGGGGCUCAACCUCGGAAGUGCGCUCGAUACUGGUAGACUGGAGUCUCGGAGAGGAUGGUGGAACUCUCGGUGUAGAGGUGAAAUUCGUAGAUAUCGAGAAGAACACCGGCGGCGAAGGCGGCCAUCUGGACGAAGACUGACGCUGAGACGCGAAAGCGUGGGGAGCAAACAGGAUUAGAUACCCUGGUAGUCCACGCCGUAAACGAUGGGUGCUAGGUGUCGGGGGUAUUGACCCCUCCGGUGCCGCAGCCAACGCAUUAAGCACCCCGCCUGGGAAGUACGGCCGCAAGGCUAAA